rnacentral:misc_RNA from 1 species
UCAAAUAUGUUCAUGAGAGUUCGAUGUCUAGACAAUUGCUCUUGGAAGUAAUAGUUGCCCUGGAGGCGGCAGCCGAGACGAUCGAGGGCCUGGCCCGUCUCGCGAAUCCAGAAUCCGACGGAGGAUAUGGCUCUGCCCUCUGCCUAGGGUCCCCAUCUUCUUCUUGGUCUGUUAGUCCCCUCAGGUUUCAACUAAUCACUACAGUACACUACAUUGGGAU